GCUUGUUUGAGUCUAGAAUGGAGCUAGUUGUUUCAUUGUGAGACGAAGGUAAAAAAGACAAAGGAAAAAGUUGAUGGGUGCUCAAAAGAUAUCAAAAUAUAUUACCAGUGAAAUAAAAACAUCAAUCAUGUCAUUUAAGCAGUCAAGUCAAACAAGAAGUGGCAAAAAAUAUAACUAACUUUGAAAUGCCUGUUAAAAAGCGAAGAAUAAUACCGAAUGUGGAACAUGAGUUGACUGAACUAACUAGAAUCCCCAGAAAAUCCAGCAUUAUUAGAAAGUAUAAUGCAUUAGCAAAAGUUAAAAAAUCCAGACAUGCAAGAAAUCAGCUCAUUGCUCAGGAACUAGAGAAUCUAUGGAAAAAAUUUGAUUUUCCGUGUAUAACAUUUAAGUCUAUUGUAAGAAAAGUAAAUACUCUGUUGACAAGGCAUGAUACCCAUUUGAAACGUCCGAGACUAGGUGAAAACUUUGAAGAUUUGUUUGUCGUUACUAAUCAACAUGGCAAUUGGUUAUCUAAAGAAGACAAAGACUUUUACAGUACACAAAUUCAAAGUGGCGGUAUAACAUCUCGGUUAGCUAUGGUUCAUCCUUCAAAGUGAACACCUUCCUCGUCAAGAGUGUCAGCUUCAACUUCACAAGCUGAAGCAGGUAAAGUAACAUACCUAAAAAAUUCUCAAAUAUUACACAAAUUUUUUUGUAUGCAUUGAUGACACUAAUAUGUUUCCAACUUCUUGCAGAUACAUCAUCAUCAUCAUCAUCAUCAUCAUCAGAAACCCCUACUUCUGAUUCUGCAAAGGAAAUCACAUUACCAAUAGACAAACAAGUUGGCAUCUCUAUACAACAACAUCACUCAACUCAGAAAGUAACGAACUUGCUGAAAAAAAAAAAAAAAAAAGAAUUUAAGCAGUCAUAAA